GCGCAGGGAGUCCAGCGAGCGCCAGGCGCCGGGGGGGGGGGGCCGGCAUGGCGUGGCCCUGCAUCAGCCGCCUCUGCUGCCUGGCGCGGCGCUGGAACCAGCUGGACCGAUCCGACGUGGCCGUGCCACUGACCCUGCACAGCUACUCCGACCUCGAGAGCGAGGAGCCGGGCCUGGGCGGUGCCACCUCGCGCAGGGGCCCGUCCCCCGCAGGCGCGCGGGACCCCGGCCGCGACGUGCCGCUUACUCAGUACCAGCGGGACUUCGGCGUGUGGACGGCUCCCGCGGGGCCCAGAGAUGGAACACUGGGGCGCGAGCCGGGAGCGGGCGGCCGCAGGAUCAAGCCCCCUGCGUCCUACAGCCGGGGGGUCUACGUGCUCCCCGUCGGCGACGCAGAUGCGGCUGCAGCGGCGACCACAUCGUACAGACAGGAAUUCCAGGCUUGGACUGGAGUGAAGCCAUCGAGAUCCACAAAGGUGAAACCUGCCGCAGUCAUCACAACCCACAGCUCUGGAUGGGACAGCAGCCCCGGGGCUGGCUUCCAGGUCCCUGAGGUGAGGAAGAAGUUCGCCCCUAACCCCUCAGCCAUCUUUCAGGCCUCGGCUCCCCGGAUCCUCAACAUGUGAUUGCCCACGGAGAAAAGCGAGCAGCCACAGAGGAUCAGAACCCACUGCCCGGGGACUGGGGUGAGGUCUCAGGACCAGAUGGCCCCUGCUGUCAGAGGGGUAGGGUCCUCCGUUCUCACCGUGGGGCACUACUUCCUCUCCAAGCUGCACGAGGCCGCGGGCAGAGCAGAGGCACAGAGGGACACAGCACCACCCAGCUCAGCUCUGGGCCUCAGAGACGUGUGCGGAAGGCUUCAGAUCUUUUUUAAUUGCCUCUUUUGGCCACCCUUCAUUUUUUACAUCUGAAGAACUUGAUCAAUUCUGUGAACUGAAUUGGUCGCUGGGGGCUGAGGAAUAUGGACAUAACAGGUCCUUGAAAGAUCCAGUAAUGUCCACGUUAUUGUUUUUGCAGGCUGCACGAUAAUUUUAUAACCUAUGGUAACCCAAGGUGGUGUCCUUGGAUAGUCCCACCAACGGCCCCACAUGUUCAGGCUGUAGAAGAAAUCUUUCUUAGGUUAUCACCUGCAUGUGACUCAUGAUGAUGCUAAGUAACCAGGAAGGAGUUUCCCAAAGCAGCAGAAUAUCAAUCAUCAUAGGGUUUCAGUUUUAAAGACAAUUUCUUUAUGGCCAAGACGACCCUGGUUUUAACAAAACAUUUCUUGGCAUGAGUGAAGUACUGAGUGAAUGACAUUCACCUUAGUAUUACUGACUCCAGUUUUGUUCCCUUAAUGUAUUGAUGACUAGAUGGGAACUACUAUACUAAGAACUGGGAGCUUCUUUGGGAGAAGGGUGGCAUUAGCUUCAUUCCCUGAAAGACCUGAAAACGUCAUCUCAUUACAGGGAGCUCACUAGCUGUUGAGGCAGCUCAUUCUGUUUUUGGAAGGCCCUCCUGACUUUCUCGACAAAUUCCAGCCAGUGCAGCCACCUGGAACUAGCCCGGUCCCCUCUUUGCACAGCAGCCCUCGAAACAGUUGAAGGAGUUUGUGUUCCUUUUAGAGAUUAGAGGCACAAGCGAAGGACAGUUUUGGUAAGGAAGCUCAAGGAUUUCCCUUUGGAUCUUUACCCCUUUCCAGCCCUCAGGUGGCUUAGCCAGGUGAGCAUUUACUUUCACCACAGGAGGUGGCAUUCAGGUUUUAGAAGCAGCUCAGAGCGGAGGCGGGGCCGAGUUUCCAGCUCAGGCUGCGAGGGGCCGUCAGUCCCCUCAGAGGUGCUAGCUCCCAGCUCUGGCACGUUCCAGCAAAGGAAAUGCUCUGAGAGAAUCAUUUUAAAGGGAAAAGCAAAACCAUAUGCUUACACAAAGGGUUCUAUUAUUUCAGACUUCAUUGGUUUUGCGCGUUAGAUGCUUCUAAGGGAAGAGACUGCGUGCUGGGCAUUCUGUGAGAAGCAAACAGAUUAAUGGUUACAAUCUCAGAUUCUACUAAAACCCAAACAUACUGUUUCAAUUUAACUUAUUUCUUUAAUUAUAAACACGAACGCCUUCUCAUGUCUUCCUUUAUCCCCUCUUAGAGGACUGAAUGUGCCAUGGCUACUGCUGCUCUCCCUUGGAGGCUUGUAGAUUCUGAGAACGCUGACCCUGGGCUGCAGUCGCACUGGUGUCGAUUUUUUGCCAAACUCCAAAAAGCAGCUUUUGAGAGAACCUUGGCCAUGCAGCCCACCCUGGGCCAACGGGGGACCCUUUGAGCAGGAUCAGCUCCGCUGGCCUCACUCACACAGGUGCCUUCAGUCAGUUAAGAGGGAGCCCCCGAUUAAGGUACUGUGACACUGUCUGUCCUGUGGCUCCUGUCAAAACCGUGGCUGACACAAAUAACAUUCAAGAAGGGGGCCUAAUCAAUGCCCCUAUUCUCCUUCCUCCAGACCAUUCAACUCCCUAAAGGUUGACACUAAGUGAAGCCUGGUCCCAAGAAAGCUACAUACUUGGAUUGUUUCACAGGGCCUCCUCCCCAAAGAACUUCUCACCUUUGAAGAACCAAAGCUUUCAAAGCUUUUAGUUCUUAUUAAGGGUGGAUAUAAAUAAUAGUCAUUUCUGAAAUAUUUCUGCACUUGCUGUAAUUUUUUAGCCACUGUGAUGGCAGAUGGUCCCAGCAGGACUGGGUCACAGGAGUAACUUCUUUCUGGCUUCAGCACAGACCCAUUCUUGCCAGACGAACCGCUGUGCUUCUUGAUUGGACAACAGGAGCUGUUUUACUCUUUGCCUUGGCUUUGAGGAGGCUCUGAGCUCAAUCAUCAGGUAGUUUUCCUUUGCUCCAAGCUGUCAGAAACCACUAUGGCCAGGACCAACAUGCAUUUUUCCAAAACUUUUUCAGAUUUUUAUAUAACUGUAAUCCUUAUUUUAAGUAGCUGCAAAUUCUUUUUGGAAAGAAGUGGAAGAAUUAAUUCAAGUACACAAACACCUAUACCUUUGCCUCAUCCCAGCUCUUUUUGACCUAAUGCAAGAAAAACCCUACCAAAGUGUAGUGCUCCAAACUCAGAAAAACCCAUCACAAAUACUGAAAGAUUUAUUGUAGAUAUUUUUGUUACACAAUUAUGUUACAUAUUAUGAUACAAAUACAUUUGCAACAUUAACAUAUAUGGGGACUGUUAAAUCGCUUACUAUUUCUUCUGCAAAAAGAUAAUUUCUUGAGGCUUUCACACCUGUAGUAACUGGCUCUGUUCUCAUUUGGGUCAAAUCUUCACCCUUUAGCUCUGAGUCGCAGUCCACUGCUGAGUGAGUCUACACUUGCCCAUUAACCCUGCCUGGAGUAUUUUAUGUCUGGAAUAUCUGAGCCUUUACUACUAAACUGUUCUAUUACUAAGCCAGGGCAUGCCCUCUGCCUUACUGAGUAAUUUCCCUCUGCCUUACUGAGUAAUUUCCCUCUGCAGCUGCAGUCCUCAGAUGCUGAAAAAAGAAGGGCAGAUUUCUCGUAGUUGCCUCCCUGCCUUCUCCUGACUCAAACAUCUAGAGGAUUCAUGAAAACAUGAAUUAUGUUGCUUGGAUAAGUUUCUUUGGCUCUGACUCACAGCUUUCAGUUUUUCUUGGAGCAGAUUCCUAACUGCUGAGAAUAAAUUCUUUACUUCUACACAGACUGUCAGGAAGAUUGGGGUAAAGUGUCUAUAAUGAAACUGGACAUCAUGCAGGGCACGGCUAACUUUCCUUUUUCCGUCCACUUCUGCCUCCCACUGAGAUGGCCUCUGCUUAUGACACAAUCUGUUCUCACUGCUUCUGAGCACUGACAUCCCUGUGUCUUGGCUUUGACAGUCCUUUCUCUACCUUUAAGGCACUCACAAGUGUUUAAAACACUUUUCUUCUUGGGAAAAACUCCUUGACAGAGAAGAACAAGACACCAAAUCCACUGGAUAGGAUGAACUGUCCAAGGGGCUGCUCCCCACUGGCCACUCAACGUGGAUUCAGCAGCAGAAGCUCCUGCAGACCACGCCAAUGGUCCUCCAGUUUCCGGCAGAGGUUGUCAGCAGAGGAGAAUGAUGACGGGCACUCUAAAUGAGAGGUAAUCAGUCUUAUGACAGCUGUGGUGACAAAAGAAAGGGACUUUCCAUCUCCGAGGGACCAAUAGCCUGAGACCCAGAGAAGAAGGGGAGAAGACUCGUCUGUGUGAGGGUGGCUAUAAGGUCACAAAGGAAGAAGUCACUUCUACCACAAGGAAAGGAGUUUGAUCAAGAAGGUCUUCAAAGGAGAAAUGAUGCUGAGGAAGGGGGCUCCUGAAUGAACAGUGUGUUCCUGUUGCAUGUCACGGGCCAGAACAUUCCUGGCUGGGGCACAACACUCGGGACACUUGGGCACAAAUAGUUCUGUAGGGACCAUCCUGGGGGGUGGGCGGGACACCCAGGGUGGGCUCCUGUUCUCUGAGGCAGCUCUUGGAGUCCUCAGGUCCCUUCACCUCAGCUGAAGGAAAGAGCACUGAAAACUGCUGGGGCUGACGUGGCCCGAAAACCAUGGAGGCUGAGAGGUGACCGUGGGCUCCAAGGAAACACCUCUCGGCUGCCGAUGGUGCUCCGAGUCCCACCAGUGCUCACCUGGCUCGCUGUCAAUCUGGGUCAGCACAUCCUCGAUCGAGUCCCCGUCGCUCCUCAGGCUUUCGGGGUCAGGUGGGGUGUAGCCAUGGCAGCGACACCAGUGAGCGAUGUGCUUGGUUUUAAGCGGAGUCAGGUGAUGAAAUCUUGGAUUCUUUUCCAGUAUUUCUUGUAAGACUUUUCGCAUUGUCAUCGCUCUUUGCCACUUAAACAAAUUGAGGGGGGAGGGGGAGAAUUCUUCAACUUAGCGUGUUCAAAUAAAUCACCCAACUCUAAACUAC